CUAUUUCUAUUGCUGUUUGCAUAUUUGUAUAUAUGUCUCUAAUUGAUGAAUCAGCACAUACACACACACACAAAGUCAAUGAUGACUGUUUUUUAUGUGUUGUGUAUUUGAUGGCAAUGAAAUGGAAUUUUAGGCCAAAAUUACUCAAAAAUGAUUGACCACAUUGAAUUGAAUUGGACCAAUUCAACAUUGAUUCAAUUCACAGUAAACGUUGUUAACGGAAAAAAAUAUUGUAAUCAUC